AUUAUGCCUGUCAUAAAACUGUCUAAAUAAAUAAGCAUUGAAUCGCAUUAAUCUCAAGUCCACGUGUCCGUUAGUGACGUAGGCACGGUACGAGAUAUCGAAAUUUCUGAAUUGGCUGUCAUUCAACAAUGACAAAAUCAAGAUACGUUUAAGAGAAGAAAACAAUUCGAAUAUGAAUUCGUACACGGUUGAUAAUAGAAUCACCUAUUUAAGCUUUACAAUUUGUGUAAUACUCUUCGUUUUCGGAACGUGGCCCGUGGUGUCAUAUGCCGAAGAGAUCUCUAACCUCAAACAUGAAAAUGUCACGUUGGACAAUAAAAAUGUAUCAAAAGAUGUGACACCAACGAAUUCGAGCAUAGAUACGUCCACAGAUUCCGUAAGCAACGAUUUAAAGAUCAACGCUUCGAGUACAGUGAACGCAUUACAAAACAGUUCCAUCAGUACUGUGACAGUUCAAUCUAAUCAUGAUACUAAUAAUCAAACAAUUGAAACAUUUACCACGUCGCCUGCGAUCACUGUCAAUGACAAGAGUGGCAACAUGUCCGAUUUUACUGUCACAUCGCAAAGCUCGGAUAUCAGUAAUGCGACAACGAACACGAGUACGACGACGAGUGUACCUGCGGAACCAGUAUUACCCGACAAAGGGUCUGCAGAGGAGGAACACAACAGUUCCAUGUCCAUAUUUUUCGUCCUCUGCGUCCUAGCUUUAGGCAUUUUACUUAUACACCUGAUGCUGCAAACGAAUUUUCAGUACCUGCCGGAGUCCGUAGUUAUCGUAUUCUUAGGAGGACUGAUUGGUAUGAUUAUAAAUCUGAUGUCGAAUCAGAACAUAGCCAACUGGAGAAAGGAAGAAGCCUUCUCUCCGACUGCUUUCUUCCUCGUACUUCUUCCGCCUAUUAUAUUCGAAUCUGGAUACAAUUUGCACAAAGGAAACUUUUUUCAAAACAUUGGUAGUAUCUUAGUCUUCGCCAUAUUCGGCACAGCGAUAUCUGCGUUCGUCAUCGGAGCUGGAAUUUAUCUAUUAGGACUGGCUCAAGUAGCAUACAAGCUUAGCUUUGUUGAAAGUUUCGCAUUCGGAUCGUUGAUAUCAGCUGUAGACCCUGUUGCUACUGUAGCUAUAUUUCAUGCGUUAGAUGUAGACCCAGUAUUGAACAUGUUAGUUUUCGGAGAAUCUAUUUUAAACGAUGCCAUUUCUAUUGUAUUAACCACUUCUGUGUUGGAGUCGAAUAACGCCACGACUACCAGCGAGGCAAUUAUACUAGGCUUGAACAGAUUUUGUCUCAUGUUCUUUGCCUCCGCGGGUAUCGGAGUCGUCUUUGCACUGAUAAGCGCAUUACUACUUAAGCACGUCGACCUUAGAAAGAAUCCUUCUCUCGAAUUUGGACUGAUGUUGGUAUUCACCUAUGCACCGUACGUUCUCGCAGAAGGCAUACAGUUAUCUGGUAUUAUGGCAAUUUUAUUCAACGGAAUCGUGAUGUCGCAUUAUACACAUUUCAAUUUGUCGACUGUUACACAAAUUACAAUGCAACAAACUAUGAGGACUUUGGCGUUUAUCGCUGAAACUUGUGUAUUCGCCUACUUGGGAUUAGCUUUGUUCAGCUUCAGACACAGGUUUGAACCGGCGUUAGUGAUAUGGUCCAUAAUCCUCUGUCUGAUCGGUAGAGCAGCAAACAUCUUUCCUUUAGCGUUUCUCGUGAAUCGAUUUCGAGAACAUCAAAUCACGAGGAAAAUGAUGUUCAUAAUGUGGUUCAGCGGCCUACGCGGCGCGAUUUCUUACGCCUUGUCUUUGCACUUGGAUUUCAGCGAUGAAACGCGACAUGUGAUCAUCACUACUACAUUAAUUAUAGUGCUGUUCACAACUUUAGCGUUCGGUGGCUCUACCAUGCCUUUGUUAAAGUUUUUGCGAGCAGAAAAGAAACAGAAGAAUAAUAACAGUAGGAGGAAGAGAAAGGAUAAAGAGAUAUCCUUGAGUAAAACCAGAGAAUGGGGGCAAACGAUAGAUUCUGAACAUUUGUCAGAACUCACGGAGGAAGAGAUCGAGGUGUCCUUCCUCCAAUCUAGAAUUCGUGGCUUCGCGAGAUGGGAUUUGAAGUUCUUCAUUCCAUUUUUCACGAGGAGGUUCACGCAGCAGGAACUGAAGGAUUGUAAAUCUCAAAUGACGGACCUAACGAAUCAGUGGUAUCAAGCUAUACGAAUCAGUCCAAUCGAAUCGGACGACGAAGUAACGACAGCGUCGACGGCUCAGUUGAAUAUUAAUUUGUCGACGGAAGCUCCCAGUCGGAUACACGGGAAAAAGAGCAAGAGACGUCCAAGUCACGGGUCUAUAUUAAGUAUAUAAUUAUUUUUGUGUGCCGUGCUAAAUGUGCUAUCGAUACUCAGCUUCAGUUGUGAAUAGGUAAUAACUUUUUCUUGACGGCGAUUUCGUCAUCAUAAUCGAAGGAAAACACUUUCUGUGAUUACGUAGUUUUAAUCUCUUUCUAUAAGAUGUUCGUCGCGCGUAUCUACGAUUCAAGUUCAAUGUUUCUAAUUUAUUUUGCCUGAUUGCUGACAUUUUCCCAAUGACAAUAAGGUAUAAUUAAAUUAUUAGCUUUAGCAGAUGGUUUGUGGUUCUCUCAUAGCUGCAAAAGUCGUCUGAUGAAAAUUGUGUGGCAUCUAAACAUUUGCUUUGCUGUCAAAGCUUAUAUCGUUGAGACGACGAGGAUUGGUCUGGUUAAUGAUCAAGUUUAUAGAUGUAAAUUUGCGGGUUGUUUCAUCGAUUGAUAUAGAAAAUAUGUGCAGACGUUGUAUUAUAGAGAAUGAUAUUUUAAUAUCGAACUUGGACAAGUAACAGGUUCCUAAUUUUAUUUAGUUAUCAGAAAAAGUAUUAUUUACCUAACUUAAUGAAAAGAUGUAUGUGAUAUUUUCAAACGAAUAUUUGAAUAAUUGCACAAAAAGAAUUAUACAUAAGUGAUCACGUUGCAUAUCGAAAAGAUACUUGUAUACGGCCCUAACACACUGUACUUACUAUGUUAUUAUAAAUCAUAUGCAAUGACUUCUCUAGAUAAGUUUGAUAAUUUCAAUAUUUAUCGGAGUUUCUCAUCUGUGUACAUACACUAUGGAAAUGUAAGAAUGUAAUAGGAUAUUUACAAACCAAUUUUAUUAAUUGAUAUUCUUCGAUUUGCACUGAGUCAAGUAAGUAUCCUAUCAUGUUGUCCGAGUAUUAUUGUAAAAAGAAAUAUCCUUAUCAUGUACAGUAAAAUUCUGUUUUAAAAUGUAGAAGACAUCUCUUCUCAUCUGAAUAUAUUUUAUUGAUAUAAUAAAUCUCUUGCUACUCAAUCGAAA